UUAAGCGACUAAGCGUACACGGUGGAUGCCCUGGCAGUCAGAGGCGAUGAAGGACGUGCUAAUCUGCGAUAAGCGUCGGUAAGGUGAUAUGAACCGUUAUAACCGGCGAUUUCCGAAUGGGGAAACCCAGUGUGUUUCGACACACUAUCAUUAACUGAAUCCAUAGGUUAAUGAGGCGAACCGGGGGAACUGAAACAUCUAAGUACCCCGAGGAAAAGAAAUCAACCGAGAUUCCCCCAGUAGCGGCGAGCGAACGGGGAGCAGCCCAGAGCCUGAAUCAGUGUGUGUGUUAGUGGAAGCGUCUGGAAAGGCGCGCGAUACAGGGUGACAGCCCCGUACACAAAAAUGCACAUGCUGUGAGCUCGAUGAGUAGGGCGGGACACGUGGUAUCCUGUCUGAAUAUGGGGGGACCAUCCUCCAAGGCUAAAUACUCCUGACUGACCGAUAGUGAACCAGUACCGUGAGGGAAAGGCGAAAAGAACCCCGGCGAGGGGAGUGAAAAAGAACCUGAAACCGUGUACGUACAAGCAGUGGGAGCACGCUUAGGCGUGUGACUGCGUACCUUUUGUAUAAUGGGUCAGCGACUUAUAUUCUGUAGCAAGGUUAACCGAAUAGGGGAGCCGAAGGGAAACCGAGUCUUAACUGGGCGUUAAGUUGCAGGGUAUAGACCCGAAACCCGGUGAUCUAGCCAUGGGCAGGUUGAAGGUUGGGUAACACUAACUGGAGGACCGAACCGACUAAUGUUGAAAAAUUAGCGGAUGACUUGUGGCUGGGGGUGAAAGGCCAAUCAAACCGGGAGAUAGCUGGUUCUCCCCGAAAGCUAUUUAGGUAGCGCCUCGUGAAUUCAUCUCCGGGGGUAGAGCACUGUUUCGGCAAGGGGGUCAUCCCGACUUACCAACCCGAUGCAAACUGCGAAUACCGGAGAAUGUUAUCACGGGAGACACACGGCGGGUGCUAACGUCCGUCGUGAAGAGGGAAACAACCCAGACCGCCAGCUAAGGUCCCAAAGUCAUGGUUAAGUGGGAAACGAUGUGGGAAGGCCCAGACAGCCAGGAUGUUGGCUUAGAAGCAGCCAUCAUUUAAAGAAAGCGUAAUAGCUCACUGGUCGAGUCGGCCUGCGCGGAAGAUGUAACGGGGCUAAACCAUGCACCGAAGCUGCGGCAGCGACGCUUAUGCGUUGUUGGGUAGGGGAGCGUUCUGUAAGCCUGCGAAGGUGUGCUGUGAGGCAUGCUGGAGGUAUCAGAAGUGCGAAUGCUGACAUAAGUAACGAUAAAGCGGGUGAAAAGCCCGCUCGCCGGAAGACCAAGGGUUCCUGUCCAACGUUAAUCGGGGCAGGGUGAGUCGACCCCUAAGGCGAGGCCGAAAGGCGUAGUCGAUGGGAAACAGGUUAAUAUUCCUGUACUUGGUGUUACUGCGAAGGGGGGACGGAGAAGGCUAUGUUGGCCGGGCGACGGUUGUCCCGGUUUAAGCGUGUAGGCUGGUUUUCCAGGCAAAUCCGGAAAAUCAAGGCUGAGGCGUGAUGACGAGGCACUACGGUGCUGAAGCAACAAAUGCCCUGCUUCCAGGAAAAGCCUCUAAGCAUCAGGUAACAUCAAAUCGUACCCCAAACCGACACAGGUGGUCAGGUAGAGAAUACCAAGGCGCUUGAGAGAACUCGGGUGAAGGAACUAGGCAAAAUGGUGCCGUAACUUCGGGAGAAGGCACGCUGAUAUGUAGGUGAGGUCCCUCGCGGAUGGAGCUGAAAUCAGUCGAAGAUACCAGCUGGCUGCAACUGUUUAUUAAAAACACAGCACUGUGCAAACACGAAAGUGGACGUAUACGGUGUGACGCCUGCCCGGUGCCGGAAGGUUAAUUGAUGGGGUUAGCCGCAAGGCGAAGCUCUUGAUCGAAGCCCCGGUAAACGGCGGCCGUAACUAUAACGGUCCUAAGGUAGCGAAAUUCCUUGUCGGGUAAGUUCCGACCUGCACGAAUGGCGUAAUGAUGGCCAGGCUGUCUCCACCCGAGACUCAGUGAAAUUGAACUCGCUGUGAAGAUGCAGUGUACCCGCGGCAAGACGGAAAGACCCCGUGAACCUUUACUAUAGCUUGACACUGAACAUUGAGCCUUGAUGUGUAGGAUAGGUGGGAGGCUUUGAAGUGUGGACGCCAGUCUGCAUGGAGCCGACCUUGAAAUACCACCCUUUAAUGUUUGAUGUUCUAACGUUGACCCGUAAUCCGGGUUGCGGACAGUGUCUGGUGGGUAGUUUGACUGGGGCGGUCUCCUCCUAAAGAGUAACGGAGGAGCACGAAGGUUGGCUAAUCCUGGUCGGACAUCAGGAGGUUAGUGCAAUGGCAUAAGCCAGCUUGACUGCGAGCGUGACGGCGCGAGCAGGUGCGAAAGCAGGUCAUAGUGAUCCGGUGGUUCUGAAUGGAAGGGCCAUCGCUCAACGGAUAAAAGGUACUCCGGGGAUAACAGGCUGAUACCGCCCAAGAGUUCAUAUCGACGGCGGUGUUUGGCACCUCGAUGUCGGCUCAUCACAUCCUGGGGCUGAAGUAGGUCCCAAGGGUAUGGCUGUUCGCCAUUUAAAGUGGUACGCGAGCUGGGUUUAGAACGUCGUGAGACAGUUCGGUCCCUAUCUGCCGUGGGCGCUGGAGAACUGAGGGGGGCUGCUCCUAGUACGAGAGGACCGGAGUGGACGCAUCACUGGUGUUCGGGUUGUCAUGCCAAUGGCACUGCCCGGUAGCUAAAUGCGGAAGAGAUAAGUGCUGAAAGCAUCUAAGCACGAAACUUGCCCCGAGAUGAGUUCUCCCUGACUCCUUGAGAGUCCUGAAGGAACGUUGAAGACGACGACGUUGAUAGGCCGGGUGUGUAAGCGCAGCGAUGCGUUGAGCUAACCGGUACUAAUGAACCGUGAGGCUUAACCUU
rnacentral:rRNA from 1 species